rnacentral:rRNA from 1 species
GAUGAACGCUGGCGGCGUGCCUAAUACAUGCAAGUCGAGCGAACGGACGAGAAGCUUGCUUCUCUGAUGUUAGCGGCGGACGGGUGAGUAACACGUGGAUAACCUACCUAUAAGACUGGGAUAACUUCGGGAAACCGGAGCUAAUACCGGAUAAUAUUUUGAACCGCAUGGUUCAAAAGUGAAAGACGGUCUUGCUGUCACUUAUAGAUGGAUCCGCGCUGCAUUAGCUAGUUGGUAAGGUAACGGCUUACCAAGGCAACGAUGCAUAGCCGACCUGAGAGGGUGAUCGGCCACACUGGAACUGAGACACGGUCCAGACUCCUACGGGAGGCAGCAGUAGGGAAUCUUCCGCAAUGGGCGAAAGCCUGACGGAGCAACGCCGCGUGAGUGAUGAAGGUCUUCGGAUCGUAAAACUCUGUUAUUAGGGAGGAACAUAUGUGUAAGUAACUGUGCACAUCUUGACGGUACCUAAUCAGAAAGCCACGGCCAACUACGUG